UACGGAGGGUGCAAGCGUUAUCCGGAUUCACUGGGUUUAAAGGGUGCGUAGGUGGAUCUGUAAGUCAGUGGUGAAAUCUCCAAGCUUAACUCGGAAAUUGCCGUGGAUACUAUCAAUCUUGAAUAUCGUGGAGGUAAGCGGAAUAUGUCAUGUAGCGGUGAAAUGCUUAGAUAUGACAUAGAACACCAAUUGCGUAGGCAGCUUACUACACGAUCAUUGACGCUGAGGCACGAAAGCGUGGGGAGCAAACAGG
rnacentral:rRNA from 1 species